GUAGGUGAACCUGCGGAAGGAUCAUUACAUUCAGUAGUUUACUACUGUUUUGAGGGAAACGGAAAGUCCAUGGGCUGCUUCGGUAGUCUGUGUGAGGAGUACGUCCCCUCUUUACACCCUUGUCUUUUUGCGUACUCAUGUUUCCUCGGCGGGCUUGCCCGCCGGUCGGACAUUUAAUAACCUUUUUAAUCUUCAAUCAGCGUCUGAAUAAUUAUAAUAAUUACAACUUUCAACAACGGAUCUCUUGGUUCUG
rnacentral:misc_RNA from 1 species